rnacentral:rRNA from 1 species
UGAGGAAUCUUGCGCAAUGGGGGAAACCCUGACGCAGCAACGCCGCGUGAGUGAAGAAGGCCUUCGGGUCGUAAAGCUCUGUCGGGUGGGAAGAAACGUAUGAAGGUAAAUAAUCUUCAUACUUGACGGUACCGCCAAAGGAAGCACCGGCUAACUCCGUGCCAGCAGCCGCGGUAAUACGGGGGGUGCAAGCGUUGUUCGGAAUUAUUGGGCGUAAAGAGCGUGUAGGCGGCGUGAUAAGUCAGAUGUGAAAGCCCUGGGCUUAACCCAGGAAGUGCAUUUGAAACUGUCAUGCUUGAGUACGGGAGAGGGAAGAGGAAUUCCUGGUGUAGAGGUGAAAUUCGUAGAUAUCAGGAGGAACACCGGUGGCGAAGGCGACUUCCUGGCCCGAUACUGACGCUGAGACGCGAGAGCGUGGGGAGCAAACA